GUCGGGGUAGCUCAGUUGGUAGAGCGGAGGAAUCAUAACCCUCAGGUCGUGGGUUCAAUCCCCACCCCCGACA
rnacentral:tRNA from 1 species